rnacentral:pre_miRNA from 1 species
AUUCCACAGCUAUUUUGGCAUUCUGUCCACCUCCAUAUAAUUAUAUUAACCAGUCUCCCCCUUCCCUCCCAGAUCAUAUAUAUAUUGGAGGUGGCCAGUAAGCCAAACGGGCUCUGCGAA